rnacentral:lncRNA from 1 species
CUUGGAUCAUGGCCUCUCACACCUGGCUGAUGACUGAGUCUGUGUCCCCCAUUUGCCGAUGACACCAGCACCUCUGAGCACCCCAGGGCCGCCCCUCCUGCUGUUGCAUCUGUUUCUGAGCAUCUUAAAAUCACCUUUGAAGGAAAAGUCCUCACAGGAACACCCCCCCUUGUGCCUUACAGACAAAGAAGUAUGCCGAUGUGAUCAUCCCGCGAGGAGUGGACAAUAUGGUUGCCAUCAACCUGAUCGUGCAGCACAUCCAGGACAUUCUGAAUGGUGACAUCUGCAAAUGGCACCGAGGAGGGUCCAAUGGGCGGAGCUACAAGCGGACCUUUUCUGAGCCAGGGGACCACCCUGGGAUGCUGACCUCUGGCAAACGGUCACAUUUGGAGUCCAGCAGCAGACCCCACUGAGGGGCUGCCGAGCCUCAGGGCAGGUCUCCCGCCCGGCAUGUGUGUUCAGGGACUGAGCCUGGGGACGCCCACCCACACCCACUGCUUCCUCUCGGCGCACCCCAGGGGAGUGUUAGCAGCGAGGCCUUCCUCACUCAGGAGUGGAAACUCAGAUGUGUCACUCAGACUCAACUUGCUGGGACACUGACAGGCGUUCCUGAGGUUUUCAGCCACUUAGGCUCGUUGCGGUUUAAAGAUCCCUCUAGGUCACUGAGAAAUGCCACAGAAUGUGCAGGAAGCCUGGGAGGCUUCUGUGAGGAAUG